rnacentral:rRNA from 1 species
GACGAACGCUGGCGGCGUGCUUAACACAUGCAAGUCGAACGGAAAGGCCCUGCUUUUGUGGGGUGCUCGAGUGGCGAACGGGUGAGUAACACGUGAGUAACCUGCCCUUGACUUUGGGAUAACUUCAGGAAACUGGGGCUAAUACCGGAUAGGAGCUCCUGCUGCAUGGUGGGGGUUGGAAAGUUUCGGCGGUUGGGGAUGGACUCGCGGCUUAUCAGCUUGUUGGUGGGGUAGUGGCUUACCAAGGCUUUGACGGGUAGCCGGCCUGAGAGGGUGACCGGCGAAAGUGGGCUGGGGAGGCGGGACAGCUGGCGGCGGGAGGGGGGAGUGGGACAGAUGGAACGACGGGCGGACGCCGGGUGCCGCGCGUCCGGGAGCGGGCCGACGGCCUCCAGUUGGUACGCCGCUUUCGCGUGGGACGAAGCGUGGGGGCCUGUGAGGAUCAACGAAGCACGGGCUAAGUACGUGGCAGCGGCCGCGGUAAUAGGGGGAGGAGCAGCCGUCGACCC